rnacentral:rRNA from 1 species
CUAGGAGACUUUAAUGAAAUUCUAUUAAAUUCAGAGAAGGAAGGAGGCAAUCCAAGGCCCAUGAGAUUUAUGCAAUAUUUCCAGGACUGUCUAGAUCAUUGCGGCCUAAGUGAUAUGGAAUUUGUGGGUGAUAAGUAUACAUGGAGACGUGGCAAAAUUAGGGAAAGGCUGGACAGAUCAGUGUCUUCGUCAGAAUGGAGGAAUUUAUUUCCUUUUGCUACGUUGGUUAAUGAGAGUAUGACAAAAUCAGAUCACCGUCCAAUUGUUGUGGACACAGAGUACUUUAAGGCAGAUGUAUCACAGAAUAAACAAGCUACUAAUCGUUUUGAAGCACGAUGGCUACAAGAGCCGACAGUGGAGGAGGUUGUGAAUAGCGCUUGGAAUAAGGCCAAGUGUUCUGGCAGAACAAUUAUGCAAGCGCUCGAGCAGGUUCAUGGGGAUCUGCACAGGUGGGAUAGGAAGGUCCUUAAAAACCCAGGAAAAUAA